CAAUUUAAAGCUUAAAGGAAGCAUUUCAUUUACAUUGAAAAGAUAUUUGUGCAAAUCAAUUUAAAUUGA
rnacentral:tRNA from 1 species